rnacentral:lncRNA from 13 species
UUUUUUUUUUUGAGACAGAGUCUUGCUCUGUCACCAGGCUAGAGUAUAAUGGCACAAUCUUGGCUCGCUGCAACCUCCACUUCCCGGUUCAAGUGAUUCUCCUGCCUCAGCCUCCUGAGUAGCUGAAACUACAGGCGCGCAACACCACGCCCAGCUAACUUGUAUUUUUCUAGUAGAGACAGGGUUUCAUCAUGUUGGCCAGGCUGGUCUCAAUCUUCUGACCUUGUGAUCCACCUGCCUCAGCCUCCCAAAGUGCUGGGAUAACAGGCGUGAGCCACCACACUUGACCCCAGAGAGUACACUUUUAAUCUUUACAUCUUAUGGAUUGCAGACAUGUUCAGAGCACCAUGUUGUGAUUGUUGGAAGUGGAGGUGAAAAUCAGAAAUGACUCCCAGGUCUGUGGGGCCUCAUGAAUGACCUAUGGAUUGGAACCUUUGAAAAAAAUUGAGGACAAGAAUGGAAUGAUUCUAUGGCUCAGGAAGUUUCACAUAAGGAAAACUUCACCUCAUAGAAAAUAAAAGCUCUGCCGAAGCCUUCUAGUUUGCCCUGAAUUGAAAUACACAGAGCCCUUCCUUAGUCACUAUCAUCACAUGGUGUAAUACUGGUGAUUUUAUAUCACUGUGGACCCAGAAACUUAUGCACCAUUCUAGGGCCAUGUGUAAAAUAUGCAAAACUGCCAUCAGUUACUGACCUGUGGACAAAAUAUCUAGCAUCAUAUUUAAGUGGCUUACAUCGUUUAAAAAGAUCUUGCAGAUUACUCAACAGUUAAUGCUUUCAUGGAACAUUUAGUCUUUGGUCUGCUCAUUUUCUUGUAGUGUCUGUGGUAUAGACAGAAUCAGCCUGUGAAAAUAGAGGACACAGGUAUUUAAAAAGAAAUGCAAGCAAAUGUGUUUUCAUUUACAGUGAAAUAUUUAGUAAAUAUAUUUCAAACCUUAUUGUGCAUACAGAUCACUUAAGGAUCUUGUUGAAACACAGACGUGGAUUCAGUAGAUCUGGAGAUGCCAAGAUUCUGCAUUUGUUACAAGCUCCCAGGAAGCCAGGAUCCAGAGAAGUGAAGCCAUUUGCUCAAAUUCAUAAUGUUCUUAAGUGGGAAACCAAGAUUUUGAAUCCAGAGUCUGUUGACAUAUUACAUAGCGUCUAUUGAAUUCUGCAUCAUUUGUAAUGAAAACUUAACUCCCAAUCCUAAAACAAGGAGGAAGAAGAGCGGGAAGGGUCACAGCAUCUCACCAUCCAGCCAGAGCACAGUGUAUGCCAGUGGUGGAGAAAUGGGUGAGCCCCAAGAGCUAGUUGUUGCCUUGGAUGGUCAGAGAAUGAGUCUCUUAUUUCAUCAUGGACCACAGUAGCAGCCUUAGGGGCAGCAUUCAUGUGCUGUUGCUCAGCCUUCACAGCAAAGAAAGCUAUAGGCUGAUCCCUUUAUGAAGCACGGUGAGUAUUGAGAGACAACCAUGUACUCAGGGAUGAGCUGCUCGGGUGCUGGUAAAUCCCAAUUCUUUUUUAUUGUAUUUCCAGAUGCCAGUCAUUCAUUUACAUUUCAAAAGUCAUAUUUGUUCCUCAUGACUCAUUAGCUUGGAGGGAGGGGAGAGCAAAGAGGAUUGUCCCAGUAUGUCUCUG